GACGAAUGCUGGCGGCGUGCCUAAUACAUGCAAGUCGAACGCUGAAGGAGGAGCUUGCUUCUCUGGAUGAGUUGCGAACGGGUGAGUAACGCGUAGGUAACCUGCCUGGUAGCGGGGGAUAACUAUUGGACACGAUAGCUAAUACCGCAUAAGAGUAGAUGUUGCAUGACAUUUGCUUAAAAGGUGCACUUGCAUCACUACUAGAUGGACCUGCGUUGUAUUAGCUAGUUGGUGGGGUAACGGCUCACCUAGGCGACGAUACAUAGCCGACCUGCGAGGGUGAGCGGCCACACUGGGACUGAGACACGACCCAGACUCCUACGAGAGGCAGCAGUAGGGAAUCUUCGGCGAUGGAAGGAAUGCUGACCGUGCAACGCCGCGUGAGUGAAGAAGGUUGUCGGAUCGUAAAGCUCUGUUGUAAGAGAAGAACGAAUGUGAGAGUGGAAAGUUCACACUGUGACGGUAUCUUACCAGAAAGGGACGGCUAACUACGUG
rnacentral:rRNA from 1 species